UGAAACUUCCAUCCAGUGGGUAUUGUCCUACUUUUAAAUUGGUUCAAAAUAGGAUCAUCAAGGUAUCUAGAUAUCCAUGGCAAAGAAUCAGCUCUUUUCUAAUCAAUGAGUUUUGCUGGUGGUUAAGUAUAUAUUUCAAUGGUCCGUGUAAAGGAAACAACAGUAGACAAAGAAAAUUGUAUUUCUCGGCUGACUGUAUUGUCUUUCCUGAGGACCCUCAUCAUAACAACUUUUUCUCUGGUGACAGAUUUCCAAUGAAUCACCCUGAAGUAGUACCUGCAAUGACGUUGCACACACUAUUCUCUGCAAUCAGCUGUGCGAAGACAGCUGUCACUCCUCUUCGUCACUAAAGGGAAUCCCAGUCUGAUGGCAGCAGUCCCAUGGUAAGAUCUGGUCUGCAGAGAAGAACCAUCACAGAACUCUCCAAGAAUAUAUUUAUCAAAGCCAUGUGGAAGAGAGUAUCCUCUGGACCAUCCCAGGAUGAUUCCUGGCCACAGCAAAGAGGAAGCUUGGGUUUGCAUGUCCAGGACCUCCACCCUAAGUAUUCAGGCACUCUUUUUGACAUCAUUGCUGUUGUUACUUAGGUGUAUCUCCUUGGUUGUGUUUCUCCAUUCUGCUAUAAAAACUGAGAAAACACAGAGACUAAUCAGUCAUUGAAUAUUAUGGAUGAGUCUUUGAAAAGGCAUUUUGCCCCGUCUUCUGCCCCUCAAGUAAGUGUUUAGCUGUAUCAUUCCAAACACAUGAGAAUCUAUUUGGCUCCAGAACUGCAGGGAAAUAAGGUACAGUCUUCCUCAGUAAACCCUGCCACUGAUAAUAUUAUCAUGUAUGAAAUUAUGAAUGAAUUUAUUGACUAAUUGACAAUAUGUCAGUUGGAGAAUUUAAUCUUGAGUGUACCGUUUUCACAAUGCAGCAAACUUUGAAGUUACUAUCAAAAGCCAGAUGUCUUUAAGGUAUGUUAAAAAUUCAGUCAAAACUUUAAAAAUUUAAUAGGAAUAAUACAAGCCUUGCUCUGUAGAUUGUUUGAAGGUUGCUAUUGCAACGCUUGAAAAUCAAAUAUAAUGUAGAAAAAUUAAAGUCUGGUUAAGGUCCGUUAAUUAUAAUGCAAUGCUUCAGCCAAACAACAGCUUGGCUUUAAAUCAAUACCCAAUUAAAUAGUUCCUGCAGUUCUAGUCAUUAAUUGCUCUGUAGCUUAAAAAAUAACAUUCUAACUACUUAUAGAAAGAUAAUCAAAAUUGGCAUGUGAAACUUCAAUUUGGUUCUUCUGAUUAUCUUUCAAGAAGGAAAAUUAGCUUUUUCAGUGACCUAUGGUCCAUACAUUUCAAGUCCACUCAAACCUGUUGAAAAUGGAAUAAAAUCACAACUAAUAAGUGUUUGGUUAUAGGAUAAUAAUAUGUCUGGAAUUGGUGGGUUCUUGGUUUCACUGACUUCAAGA
rnacentral:lncRNA from 1 species